rnacentral:rRNA from 1 species
UACAGAGGGGGCAAGCGUUGUUCGGAAUUACUGGGCGUAAAGGGCGCGUAGGCGGCCUGCUAAGUCGAACGUGAAAUCCCCGAGCUCAACUCGGGAACUGCGUCCGAUACUGGCAGGCUUGAAUCCGGGAGAGGGAUGCGGAAUUCCAGGUGUAGCGGUGAAAUGCGUAGAGAUCCGGAAGAACACCGGUGGCGAAGGCGGCCUGCUGGGCAGUUGCUGACACUGAGGCGCGACAGCGUGGGGAGCAAACAGG